rfam:Xanthomonas oryzae pv. oryzae KACC10331, complete genome.
AUGUACCAUAUGCGUACACUGCGGUUCUGAGCGCGCCGUCCACGCCCACCUGACGAGCGCUCGCGACGUUUUGUUAGCC